ensembl:snRNA U6 U6 spliceosomal RNA
CUAUUCAAUUCAGCAACAUAUUCACUAUAGUUAGAACAAUACAGAGAAGAUUAGCAUGGCCCCUCAGCAAGGAUGACCUGCAAAUUUGUAAAUCAUUCCUUAUUUCU